UCGAGGACAAGUGUUUGUGCGUGUUCGUUUGUUUGUGUUUGAGUUGUUUAAAUUUAAUUAUUAAAGUGUUGUAAUAUAAUCUCGUUGUGUUUUUCCAGACUCUUAAUCUGCACAUAAAAAUAAUUCGUCAUGAAAGAAGCUGACUUGUAACCCACCUGAUUGUAUUUAGCCUACCUACUGCGAUAGACAGACCUUUGAAGGAGAAUCUCGACUUCUUUUUCUGCAGCUGUUUCAUCAUGUGAAUAACAUACUGCUGUAUCCUGUCAGCGGCGCUCUGUGGGAUAUUCUGCCAUUUAAUGAUCCAAAGAUUAUGUUCCAAGUAAAAGAUUUAGCUUGGAGGACUCUUAAAACAGCACUUGGGGAUUUUAAAUUAUUUUCUUUUCUUUUAAAGAUCUUUGAUCCUGAACAGCGAGGGGCCAAGGGUAAAUGCAAUUAAUUUGUGUUUACAAAAUGAAAUGAGAUUACCUAACUGUUUGCACAAUCAAGCUCCCAUUCAAUUUUGCCCACAACACGCUUGUUUUCAAUAGUACUGAAUUUCAGGUUGAAGUGGUAACGUGGGCCUCUUCAGUCUGAGAGUCUUAAGAGGAGAGUCACGUAAAAACAGAUUGAAAGGAAAAUAAAUUAAUAAAAGUAUUCUUAAUGGAUAGAGAGAAGCAGGCAUGAAAUCAUGAACAGAAGCCAAUCAGCCCAUUCAAUCUCUUGUGCUUUAUGAGCCGUGCAG
ensembl:lncRNA